UAUGACUUUUCCAUGAUGUAAUUAUCAGAUUUGUCUUUGUUUUGAUACUAGUUCAUCUGAACUUCCUAGAUUUCUUGUACUGUUUUACUGAUCCAAUAAGCUAACAUAAUGUUUAUGAUUAUGGAUAACGUUAAAUUGUGCUCAUCUAAAUGAAUUAAUGUCUGACAGAUAGUUUUAUAUGAGUAGUAAUUGUGUUUUCUAAUGUGUCAGCUUAAAAUAUAAUGUCAAAAAGCACUAGUUAACUUCACAAUCUUGGAUUAAUAUUAAACCUAUUUAGUAAGUAAACUUUGGAUUCUUGGAUAAUUCUUUUAAGUAAGAAAGACUGUUGAGGCGUUCCCAUUGUGGCUCAGCAGUAAUGAACCCAAUUAGAACCGUGAAGAUGCAGGUUCGAUCCCUGGCCUCGCUCAAUGGGUUAAGGGUCCGGUAUUGCCAUAAGCUGUGGUGUAGGUCACAGAUGUGGCUCGGAUCCCACUUUGCUGAGGCUGUGGUGUAGGCCGGCAGCUACAGCUCUGCUUUGAUCCCUAACCUGGGAAUUUCUGUAUGCUGUGGAAAUAGCCCUAAAAAGAAAAAAACAGAAACUACAGACAAAGAGUCAGAAGUCCUGGGGUUGACCCUGAAGAGUUAGGCUGAAGGAAAUGUGAUUUUCCAUGAUUUACUCUAUGGGGCAGAAUAAAAAGGAAAUGUUUUUACAUUCUGUGACAGCUCAUACCUACUAUACUCAGAAUGGUGCUAGAAUACAUAGGUGAAGAAACACAUUUUUCAGGUCAAUGUUUUGACAAAUCUGUAUGUUCAGUGACUUUUUUUUUUUUUUUUUUGGCAUGGUUCUACCAAUUUUUGAGAAGGCCGUUAAAAUCUACAAUCACUUGGGAGUUCCCAUUGUGGCUCAGCAGAAAUGAGUCUAACUAGUAUCCAUAAAGAUGAGGGUUGGAUCCCUGGCCUUGCUCAGUGGGUUAAGGAUCCAGAGUUGCCAUGAGCUGUGGUGUGUGUGGGUCACAGAUAAGGCUCAGAUCCCAUGUUGCUCUUGCUGCAUCUGUGGUGUAGGCUGGCAGCUGCAGGUCUGAUUCAACCCCUAGCCUUGGAACUUCAUAUGCUGCAGGUGCAGCCCUAAAAAGACAAAAACAAAAACAAAAGAGAGAGAGCAUACUGAUACUUUGAGCUUUUAGAUUUGUCACUUCAGUCCUGAGUUUAGUAUAUAAGACAGGUUAUACUUUUGGGUCUUGCUAAUGAACGUGUACUGUUAUUUUUGUCACUUUUCAGAGAGAUAAAAUUGAUGCGUGUGACUCUAGGAUGUGUAACUUUGCUUGUCUGCUGAACCGCUUGUGUAGGAUAAUAUCAAUUAUGUACUUCCCAGCUAAAUAGAAGAUAGUUAAUCUGGUUAACUGCUAUAGUUCUUCCUGGUAUUUAGGUCAAUAAUUGAGUAUAUGCAAUAAGAGUUUUUCUAAGGAAAAAGCAAAAAGAUUUGUCCUAAAAUAAAAUGGGAGAUUGCCCCAAACCAUAAAAGAAUAUAGUUAAGGGCAAAACUUGAUUUUGUGCAGCUGGGUGAAUACGGUUUGAGAGAAGUGAAAUUUAUUUUACUUGGUUUAUAUUACUUAAGAUAGGAAAGAAUUAUCAAGAAUGGUAAAAUAUUGGCAAAGUUCCCUCAGGUUGAGAGUUUAUUCAGAGGGUAUUUUUUAAGGAGCUUAUGAUCUUUUUGUUUUCAAGUAUUGUAUUAAUACAUUUAGAACAUGGUUUUCUCGCUGGUAGGAGAACUUUGUGUAGAGCAUUUAGCUUGCAUUUAACAAGGUAUAGUAAAUGAGUUGUUUGCUAUGCCUUCUCUUCAGUCUUCCCAGAUUGUAGAUAAUCUGUAAUAAUUUUCUGUACCCAGGAUUGACUAUAUCACGCCCUUGACUAAAAAAUACUACAGAAAAUAAAAAGUUACUCAUUCACACCAUAAAAGGAGAUACAUGGGAAAAAAUAGGGUUUUUUUUUGUUAUGCUUCAUAUUUCUUAAUUAGCUCCAAGAGUAUCUGUCACAUUUCCAUGAGUAGAGUCAUAAAAGCAAAGGAUAAUUUUGUAUAGUAAAAUGCUGCUAGUAUAAAUCUUUUCAGAGAUUACAGCUGGUUUGGAAGAUUUCGGAGGUGUUUAAUACCUUCACUGCUGAUAAUGUCUUUAGGUUCAGAGAAAACAUAAAGUAAAUCCUUAUGAAAGAAUUACAUGCUGUACCCAAUAGCAGAUUUUACUCUCUACCAUUCUAAUGUUGCUGGUUACAGCAGUAAAUGAGCUAUGGUCAUUCCAUUCUAUCUGCAGCUGUAAGGUUUACUGUCUUGCUAUAAGUGAAGAUCAGAAUUUUUGUCUUCAGCCAAAAAGAACGGCUUCAGAGCUUCAAGGAAUAGAAUGUGACAGAUGCUCAAAAAUUGAUACUUCAAAGAAUCAUGUCUUACAUAGAUUCCCAGGCUGACUUGCCUUGUGUGUCUUUGAGGGUGUGCCAGGGGACUGAAUCCAGAUUUCCAGGGCUGUUUUUAGUCCAGAAGCAGACAACUUCAUGAAAGUAGAGGAAGCCCCAGGAGCAUUUGGUAUUGAAGGCCGGUGGGGCUUGUAUGCAAGAGCUCCACAGGACUGAGGAAAAUGGAGACCCAUCUUUUUUUUUUUUUUUUUUUUUUUUUUUUGCCAUUUCUUGGGCCGCUCUGGUGGCAUAUGGAGGUUCCCAGGCUAGGGGUCCAAUCGGAGCUGUAGCCACACGCCUACGCCAGAGCCAUAGCAACGCCAUAGCAACGCCAGAUCCGAGCUGCGUCUGCGACCUACACCAUAGCUCACGGCAACACUGGAUCCUUAACCCACUGAGCAAGGCCAGGAAUUGAACCCACAACCUCAUGGUUCCUAGUCGGAUUCGUUAACCACCGAGCCAUGACGGGAACUCCUCCAAAGACCCCAUUCUUGAAAGGCACACAGUCUUUCAUGUGCACCGGGGCCUAGGGCAAAGCAGACUCCACAGGACUCUGUCAGACAUGGCUGCAGUUCUUGGAGGACCUCCUGGGAAAAGGAGGCGGGGACCGUGGCUCAUUAUUGAGGAAGGACAUUGGAGGCAAAGUUCUCAGGAAUAAUCAUCAGCGUGUGCUCCUCUAGAUGUGGCCAUUUUGGAAAAGUCUGGCCCCACUAAUCAGGGCUGAGAAGCCCCAGGCCAAAGAACAAACUGAGUGGGAACACAGCCCCACCCAUCAGCAAACAGGCUACCUAAAGAGCCCCUAGGCACACAACCACCUCUAAUCUCACCUAGAGACAAAGCCCCACCCACCAGAGGGAUAAGAAUCAGCUCCAUCUACUAGUGGGCAGGCCCCAGUCCUUCCCAUUAGGAAGCCUGCAACAAGACCCCAUACACAAUUCAGCCACUAGGAGGGCAGAUAUCAGAAGCAAGAGAGGCUACACCUCUAUUGUCUGCAAAAAAGGAGACAUUACCAAAAAUCUAUACAAAAUGAAAAGAAAGAGAAUUAUGACUCAGAUACGGGAAUAAGAAAAAAAAAAAAAAAAAA
rnacentral:lncRNA from 1 species